AAGCCCCGGUACCACACUAUGGUACUUCUUCAAAUUUGCAAUUUGAUGUGAAUCACUGCGAAGCCC
rnacentral:tRNA from 1 species